UGUGUGGUAGUGUAAGCAGUGUGUGCGUGUGUAAAUGUGCGUGUUAAUCUUUUGUCGUGAUGAAUUAUUAGUAAACAAUUUCUUAUCAAUUUUAAUUUAUUUUCCUAAAUUUUUGUACCCGUCCGAGCGGCGACCGUCUUAUAUUACUUUAAGAAUCGAUAAAACGCCCACAGUUUGUUAACUUUAAGUAAUUCAAAUCACGCUGUCAGUGAGCUGUGGAGUUCAAUAGUUUGUUACAAAACAUAUUUUAGAACCUCACGUUUGGUAUUUCUUUUCGUUGGACUCACCUAAUAGUUUGGGUUUCACCCCCAGUGUUAUUUCAUUUUAUAUUUUUUUAUUCGUGCGUCGAGGAAUUACUCAAGUGAACCAUUAUUUAACUUUUUUAACAUUUUUAUUCUCCAUUAUUUAGAGGAUAAGGAGACUCGAACAAGAUGUCUUAUCCAGAGGAAACAACGUCUGACAGAAAUGUUGAAAUCUGGAAGAUCAAGAAACUAAUCAAGAGUUUAGAAAUGGCCAGAGGGAAUGGAACAAGCAUGAUUUCAUUGAUCAUUCCUCCUAAGGAUCAAAUCUCUCGAGUGAGCAAAAUGUUAGCGGAUGAAUUUGGCACAGCCUCCAAUAUUAAAUCUAGAGUUAAUCGUCUCUCAGUAUUAGGAGCAAUAACAUCUGUCCAGCAUCGCCUUAAAUUAUAUACCAAAGUUCCACAAAAUGGCCUUGUAAUUUAUUGUGGUACAAUCGUAACAGAAGAAGGAAAAGAAAAGAAAGUAAAUAUAGAUUUUGAGCCUUUCAAACCAAUCAACACCUCCUUGUAUCUAUGUGAUAAUAAAUUUCAUACGGAAGCUUUGACUGCACUGUUAGCAGAUGAUAAUAAAUUUGGAUUUAUCGUAAUGGAUGGUAAUGGUGCUCUAUUUGGAACACUUCAAGGCAACACAAGAGAAGUUUUACAUAAGUUUACAGUUGAUUUGCCAAAGAAACAUGGAAGAGGAGGACAGUCAGCUCUGCGUUUUGCUCGGUUACGUAUGGAAAAACGGCAUAAUUAUGUACGAAAAGUUGCGGAAGUUGCGGUAUCUUUGUUCAUUGCUAAUGACAAACCAAAUGUGGCUGGUCUCAUUCUCGCAGGUAGUGCUGAUUUCAAAACGGAAUUGAGCCAGUCUGACAUGUUUGACCCUAGACUUCAAGCCAAGAUAAUCAAAUUAGUGGACGUUUCGUACGGUGGAGAAAAUGGAUUCAACCAAGCUAUUGAGCUAGCAGCUGAGUCUUUGCAGAAUGUGAAAUUCAUUCAAGAAAAAAAAUUAAUAGGUCGUUAUUUUGAUGAAAUCAGUCAAGAUACAGGAAAAUAUUGUUUCGGAGUGGAAGAUACCCUCAGAGCACUAGAGUUAGGAUCUGUGGAAACUCUUAUUUGUUGGGAAAAUUUAGAUAUCCAGCGGUACGUACUAAAAAACCACAUGAGUUCGGACGUCAAAAUCCUUCACCUCACUCCAGAGCAAGAAAAAGAUAAGAGUCAUUUCACCGACAAGGAGACUGGCGUAGAGCUAGAACUGGUCGAGUGUCAGCCUCUUUUGGAAUGGCUAGCAAAUAAUUACAAAAGUUUUGGUGCCACUCUGGAGAUAAUUACUGAUAAAUCUCAAGAAGGCUCACAGUUUGUACGAGGCUUUGGUGGUAUUGGAGUUUUUGUCGUUGCUCUGAAGUUGUUGCCUUUUAUUACCUAGUUUGCCUCGAAUGCUUUUUAAGAACUUACUCGGUGUUGCCAUUUUUGAGAAGUCAAACGAUGAUUGAAAAUGAAUGAGAGAAGAGUUUCUUUCGCUUCGACCACAAGGUCCAGAAAUUUUAAUUUCACCCUUUAGUCAUGCACGGAACAGCUGUUUACUGACAAAGUAGAUUCCAAGCGUAAUUUGUAAAAUAAGUAAUUGUUAAAGCUUUGAAUUGUGAUACUAUCAUUGUUCUAGUGUCUGCAGCCGUUACACAGCUUGUUUUGAUUUUGAUGUUUGCGUAAAUGGUGAAUUAAUCCAAGUAUGUAAUAAUUGUUUCUUGUCUUGUCAUUAAGUAAUGGUCGUACUUUUUUGUGUUCCUUGGUGUUGAUAAAGGAGGUAAGAGUUUUCACUUUAAUUUGAAAUUUUGUUUCUACAAAUUAAAGCACAGAUUUCCUCCAAGAUUUAUUAGAUAUUACAAUCCUUAUCACAAUUGAGCCAUUCUUUGCAUGAAUGAUGGACAAGCUUCGCGGUGCUGCCCAAAUUGUGCAAUUUGAAUAUCCGACUGGAAUUUUCCCCCUAAAAUAUUCUUCAUUUUUACUCAUUAUCCUCGGAAAUUAAUUAGCUUGUGUAUUUGUUUGGUUUACUACCAACUAUUUAUGACACUGCAGAAUUUGAGCGACAUUGCAAAAGCUUAUUGUCGUUGUCACGAAAAAUGGCUCAAUUGUGAAGAGACAUAGAUUGCAUUCAAAUAAAAUUUUGAGGGAAUCGUUAAAAUACUAUUUUUAUGAAGAAAAUAGAAGGUUAUUGGAAAUCAGAAAUAUCCUGUGUUCCCCCACAUCUUCUGACCCAAUUAUCUCAGGGCAUCUGACAAAUUUUUCAUCCCUCAACCAUUUAACUUUCCUUUGUUUUUCAUGAGAUUCUUCACAAUACCUAAUUGCUUUAUUUUUUAAGUUCUUUCAUGAAAAAAAGACAUACACUUGUAUAUUUUGGAACUUAAUAAAUUGAACAAGCGACAGUGAGCAUACAAUAUUUACUCACAUUAACCCUUUCAUUACCACAAGAGUAGGAUCUGCUUUCAAAAAACUGUAUCCUUCCCUUAGCAAUCUCACCAUUACUCAACAAGCUCCCAUUAGAAGUAUUCAAGCUCAUAGCUCUGUCUAUCAAGGAGGAUCAAAAUUACAACUUCAAAUAUUCUCUAAUAGAGUGCACUCCGAUUUGUUUGUACGACAACCAAUCUCUGUUGGGAGAUAUGGACACGCAGAAUUCAGCCUGUGAAUGAAAGGGUUAAUAAGUAACAAACUCAAUUAUAUAGUAGAAAGUCUCAGGCAUGCAACAGGUUUUUUGUAGCUAACAGAAACUUAGUAUCUGUUGAAGAGAGCAAUUUGUUAAGAGUUUGGUUUUUUUUUCAAACUUUUGAAGUUUAGUCCCGAAAAUGGACGCUGAAGAGCCUUUCAUCUGUGGGUAGAUAGAUUGCCAAAUAUUUAUCAAACUUAGGCAUCAGAUAGUGCAGGAACAAAAGGACCUAUGGAAGUUAAUGGUGCCAUGUACAUCUAAUGUGGUCAAACCUAUUUAUUCAUCAUCACGAAAAUAUUGAUGGCACAGUUGGCUGGUUGAAAAAUUAUCAAUGAGUGAUAUUUGCAUUGAUCAUA